GGGUUGUGAGGUUAAGUGACUAAGCGUACACGGUGGAUGCCUAGGCAGUCAGAGGCGAUGAAGGGCGUGCUAAUCUGCGAAAAGCGUCGGUAAGGUGAUAUGAACCGUUACAACCGGCGAUACCCGAAUGGGGAAACCCAGUGUGUUUCGACACACUAUCAUGUCAUGAAUACAUAGUGGCAUGAGGCGAACCGGGGGAACUGAAACAUCUAAGUACCCCGAGGAAAAGAAAUCAACCGAGAUUCCCCCAGUAGCGGCGAGCGAACGGGGAGGAGCCCAGAACCUGAAUCGGCUUGUGUGUUAGUGGAAGCGUCUGGAAAGUCGCGCAGCAAAGGGUGAUAGCCCCGUACACUAAAAUGCACAGGUCGUGAGUUCGAUGAGUAGGGCGGGACACGUGACAUCCUGUCUGAAUAUGGGGGGACCAUCCUCCAAGGCUAAAUACUCCUGACUGACCGAUAGUGAACCAGUACCGUGAGGGAAAGGCGAAAAGAACCCCGGCGAGGGGAGUGAAAUAGAACCUGAAACCGUGUACGUACAAGCAGUGGGAGCACCUUCGUGGUGUGACUGCGUACCUUUUGUAUAAUGGGUCAGCGACUUAUAUUUUGUAGCAAGGUUAACCGUAUAGGGGAGCCGUAGGGAAACCGAGUCUUAACUGGGCGAAUAGUUGCAAGGUAUAGACCCGAAACCCGGUGAUCUAGCCAUGGGCAGGUUGAAGGUUGGGUAACACUAACUGGAGGACCGAACCGACUAAUGUUGAAAAAUUAGCGGAUGACUUGUGGCUGGGGGUGAAAGGCCAAUCAAACCGGGAGAUAGCUGGUUCUCCCCGAAAGCUAUUUAGGUAGCGCCUCGUGAACUCAUCUUCGGGGGUAGAGCACUGUUUCGGCUAGGGGGCCAUCCCGGCUUACCAAACCGAUGCAAACUCCGAAUACCGAAGAAUGUUAUCACGGGAGACACACGGCGGGUGCUAACGUCCGUCGUGAAGAGGGAAACAACCCAGACCGCCAGCUAAGGUCCCAAAGUCAUGGUUAAGUGGGAAACGAUGUGGGAAGGCACAGACAGCCAGGAUGUUGGCUUAGAAGCAGCCAUCAUUUAAAGAAAGCGUAAUAGCUCACUGGUCGAGUCGGCCUGCGCGGAAGAUGUAACGGGGCUAAACCAUGCACCGAAGCUGCGGCAGCGACGCUUAGGCGUUGUUGGGUAGGGGAGCGUUCUGUAAGCCGUUGAAGGUGGCCUGUGAGGGUUGCUGGAGGUAUCAGAAGUGCGAAUGCUGACAUAAGUAACGAUAAAGCGGGUGAAAAGCCCGCUCGCCGGAAGACCAAGGGUUCCUGUCCAACGUUAAUCGGGGCAGGGUGAGUCGACCCCUAAGGCGAGGCUGAAAAGCGUAGUCGAUGGGAAACAGGUUAAUAUUCCUGUACUUGGUGUUACUGCGAAGGGGGGACGGAGAAGGCUAGGCUAGCCGGGCGACGGUUGUCCCGGUUUAAGCGUGUAGGGGGUGUGACCUGGUAAAUCCGGUUGCAUACUAACCCUGAGGCGUGAUGACGAUGCACUACGGUGCAGAAGUAGUUGAUGCCCUGCUUCCAGGAAAAUCCUCUAAGCUCCAGGUAACAUUNNNNNNNNNNNNNNNNNNNNNNNNNNNNNNNNNNNNNNNNNNNNNNNNNNNNNNNNNNNNNNNNNNNNNNNNNNNNNNNNNNNNNNNNNNNNNNNNAAGCCAGUCGAAGAUACCAGCUGGCUGCAACUGUUUAAUAAAAACACAGCACUGUGCAAACACGAAAGUGGACGUAUACGGUGUGACGCCUGCCCGGUGCUGGAAGGUUAAUUGAUGGGGUCAGCCGCAAGGCGAAGCUCUUGAUCGAAGCCCCAGUAAACGGCGGCCGUAACUAUAACGGUCCUAAGGUAGCGAAAUUCCUUGUCGGGUAAGUUCCGACCUGCACGAAUGGCGUAAUGAUGGCCAGGCUGUCUCCACCCGAGACUCAGUGAAAUUGAACUCGCUGUGAAGAUGCAGUGUACCCGCGGCAAGACGGAAAGACCCCGUGAACCUUUACUAUAGCUUGACACUGAACAUUGAGCCUUGAUGUGUAGGAUAGGUGGGAGGCUUUGAAGCGUGGACGCCAGUCUGCGUGGAGCCAUCCUUGAAAUACCACCCUUUAAUGUUUGAUGUUCUAACUCUGCCCCAUAAUCUGGGGUGAGGACAGUGUCUGGUGGGUAGUUUGACUGGGGCGGUCUCCUCCCAAAGAGUAACGGAGGAGCACGAAGGUUAGCUAAUCACGGUCGGACAUCGUGAGGUUAGUGCAAAGGCAUAAGCUAGCUUGACUGCGAGAGUGACGGCUCGAGCAGGUACGAAAGUAGGUCUUAGUGAUCCGGUGGUUCUGAAUGGAAGGGCCAUCGCUCAACGGAUAAAAGGUACUCCGGGGAUAACAGGCUGAUACCGCCCAAGAGUUCAUAUCGACGGCGGUGUUUGGCACCUCGAUGUCGGCUCAUCACAUCCUGGGGCUGAAGUAGGUCCCAAGGGUAUGGCUGUUCGCCAUUUAAAGUGGUACGCGAGCUGGGUUUAGAACGUCGUGAGACAGUUCGGUCCCUAUCUGCCGUGGGCGUUGGAAGAUUGAGAGGGGUUGCUCCUAGUACGAGAGGACCGGAGUGAACGCACCACUGGUGUUCGGGUUGUCAUGCCAAUGGCAUUGCCCGGUAGCUAAGUGCGGAAAAGAUAAGCGCUGAAAGCAUCUAAGCGCGAAACUUGCCUCAAGAUGAGUCUUCCCUGGGCCUUUAAGGCCCCUGAAGGAACGUUUAAGACUAAGACGUUGAUAGGCUGGGUGUGUAAGUGCAGCGAUGCAUUGAGCUAACCAGUACUAAUGAUCCGUGAGGCUUAACCUUACAACACCGAAGGUGUUUUAG
rnacentral:rRNA from 1 species